CCCAGCAUGUGGGGAUGAUCAGAAUAAAACACAGUGCCAACGCACUGCUCGCAUUACGACAAAACAAACUGUCUCUGAGGGAUUACACGAUUAAGUUCACUUCGAUGAUGACAGAAGUGAACGACCUAAUCCCGAGUCUGGCCAUAGCGGGGUACAUGAAUGGGCUAGUACCCUACUCCCCUUUGGCCCAGAACCUUACGCUCCAUAAAGUGGAGACCCU
rnacentral:lncRNA from 1 species